CCUACGGGAGGCUGCAGUGAGGAAUAUUGGUCAAUGGGCGAGAGCCUGAACCAGCCAAGUAGCGUGAAGGAUGACUGCCCUACGGGUUGUAAACUUCUUUUAUAAAGGAAUAAAGUGAUGCACGUGUGCCUUUUUGUAUGUACUUUAUGAAUAAGGAUCGGCUAACUACGUGCCAGCAGCCGCGGUAAUACGGAGGGGGCAAGCGUUAUCCGGAUUUAUUGGGUGUAAAGGGAGCGUAGAUGGCUCGGGAAGUCUGAAGUGAAAGGCAGGGGCUUAACCCGUGAACUGCUUUGGAAACUGGCAGGCUAGAGUGCUGGAGAGGUAAGUGGAAUUCGUGGUGUAGCGGUGAAAUGCGUAGAUAUUAGGAAGAACACCGAUUGCGAAGGCAGCUUACUGGACAGUAACUGACGUUGAGGCUCGAAAGCGUGGGUAGCAAACAGGAUUAGAUACCCCGGUAGUC
rnacentral:rRNA from 1 species